rnacentral:rRNA from 1 species
GACGAACGCUGGCGGCGUGCUUAACACAUGCAAGUCGAACGGAAAGGCCCUGCUUUUGUGGGGUGCUCGAGUGGCGAACGGGUGAGUAACACGUGAGUAACCUGCCCUUGACUUUGGGAUAACUUCAGGAAACUGGGGCUAAUACCGGAUAGGAGCUCCUGCUGCAUGGUGGGGGGUGGAAAGUUUCGGCGGUUGGGGAUGGACUCGCGGCUUAUCAGCUUGUUGGUGGGGUGGUGGCUUACCAAGGCUUUGACGGGUAGCCGGCCUGAGAGGGUGACCGGCCACAUUGGGACUGAGAUACGGCCCAGACUCCUACGGGAGGCAGCAGUGGGGAAUAUUGCACAAUGGGCGGAAGCCUGAUGCAGCAACGCCGCGUGCGGGAUGACGGCCUUCGGGUUGUAAACCGCUUUCGCCUGUGACGAAGCGUGAGUGACGGUAAUGGGUAAAGAAGCACCGGCUAACUACGUG